UACGUAGGUGGCAAGCGUUGUCCGGAUUUACUGGGCGUAAAGAGCGCGCAGGCGGUCGUUCAAGUCGCGUGUGAAAGCCCCCGGCUCAACUGGGGAGGGUCACGCGAUACUGAUCGACUCGAAGGCAGGAGAGGGUAGUGGAAUUCCCGGUGUAGUGGUGAAAUGCGUAGAUAUCUGGAGGAACACCGGUGGCGAAGGCGGCGUCCUGGGACCAACACUGACACUGAGGAGCGAAAGCCAGGGGAGCAAACGGG
rnacentral:rRNA from 1 species